GGCUUUGGGGAGGGGGUGGGAGAGACGACAGGUCUGGGAUCAGGGAGUCUUCAAGGCCCCCGCUGAGGGGACAGCGAAUCUACCAUUGAACCGUGCACGGGGGACAUGGACAAAAUGAGACGCGACAGGGACAAGAGCAUUUUGCUCUGCUUCCAGGAAACAUCAAGUUGCUUGUCUGGAGAUGGAGCCACUACAGGCGGGCCUGGGCGCCUGGAGUCGGGCAUGAAAGAAAAUAGCGCCUCAUCGCUCUUAUCUAAGCCCAGAGGUAGACUUCGCUUGAAAAGAUCGAGAAUGGAGGAGGGGAUCGGCACUCACUUGCAGACAUCAACAGUUUCCAGAAAAUUCGGUUCAAUUCCUUCACCACGGACCCACCAACCAAGGAGCUGGCAAAACCCACUAACCAACCAGGAGAACACAGACCCGGUUUGUCUUUUGACAACCGAGUGGAACUGACGGGGCCGGCGCCUGCCCUGCGGGUCCCCUCCCUUGGCUGAGAAGAAAACCAAAUAAACCUUGAACAGCCUUGGCUUCG
rnacentral:lncRNA from 1 species